UUCUGAAACGAGACACAUACGGGUUCUACUAGCAUGCCGUGACUUAGUGCUUAAUGGUUUUGCAUCAUCGACGUUACAUUGUGAUUCAAAUAGAUCUAAGUGACUGUAUUUGGCUUACAUAUUUUCGCUAGAUCGAAUAGGAUUUGGAAAAGGGUUUAUUGCUACAAUGUUGGUGGACCUUCAGUUCCUUUCGGUGGCUACAAACAGUCUGGGUUUGGCAGAGACCUGCGGCAAGGUUUCUUGACAGUUCAUUGCAGCCACUGUAGUUUCUUCAUAAUAAUUGGGACAGCAAUGUACGGAGCCUUCAAAGGGUUUAUAGAAGAAGCGUUGCAUAUGCUAUAGCUCUGAUAUUUUAAAUAAAGUAAUGAGGAUAGAAACACUGCUCAAGUAAAGGAAGGAACAAUUAUGUUAUUUACUUAUCAAGCAUAGGUGUCUUUUAAUUUUUUUUAAAAAUCAAGGCUAGCCUUAACAAUUUGUAUGUAAACUGUGUCAAUUUA